AGUAAAGUACUUUCAGCGCGGGAGUGAAGGUGUUGAGUGUUAAUAACCCUCAGCAAUUUGACGUUACCCGCAGAAGAAGCACCCGGCUAACUCCGUGCCAGCAGCCGCGGUAAUACGUGAGUGGUGCAAGCGUUAAUCGGAAUUACUGGGCGUAAAGCGCACGCAGGCGGUCUGUCAAGUCGGAUGUGAAAUCCCCGGGCUCAACCUGGGAACUGCAUUCGAAACUGGCAGGCUAGAGUCUUGUAGAGGGGGGUAGAAUUCCAGGUGUAGCGGUGAAACUGCGUAGACGAUCUGGACGGAAUACCGGUGGCGAAGGCGGCCCCUGGACAAAGACUGACGCUCAGGUGCGAAAGCGUGGGGAGCAACACAGGAUUAGAUACCCUGGUAGUCCACGCCUGUAAAACGAUGUCGACUUGGAGUGUUGUGCCCUUGAGUGCGUGGCUUCACGGAGCUAACGCGUUAAGUCAGACUGCCUGC
rnacentral:rRNA from 1 species